CCCUUAGAUGUUCUGGGCCGCACGCGCGCUACACUGAUGCAUUCAACGAGUUACCUUGGCCGAGAGGCCUGGGCAAUCUUUUAAACCUGCAUCGUGAUAGGGAUAGAUUAUUGCAAUUAUUAAUCUUGAACGAGGAAUUCCUAGUAAACGCAAAUCAUCAAUUUGCAUUGAUUACGUCCCUGCCCUUUGUACACACCGCCCGUCGCACCUACCGAUUGAAUGGUCCGGUGAAGCCUCGGGAUUGUGGCCAGUUCACUUUAUUGGGAGUUGGCUGCGAGAACUUGUCUAAACCUUAUCAUUUAGAGGAAGGUGAAGUCGUAACA
rnacentral:rRNA from 1 species